rnacentral:lncRNA from 1 species
AUCUUUAUCAGGUUCUAUCCACCCCAUAUGAUGCCAUGUUUAAAUAGGAAGAGAGCUUGGUUUUAGGUAGGAGAUAAGAGUCGAAACUCCCUUAGACUCCAGAAUUAUUGUGCCAUCCAACACCUCUCCUUUUGCACCCAGAUUAUCUCAUGAAGAAAGGAGUUUAAAAGAGCUUCUCACACACUAAAAAACUCACACAAAAAGAGUGAGGCGUGGCAUCCAAAAUCUGGUAGGGUAUGGGACUCCUUAUGGCGCAU